rnacentral:rRNA from 1 species
GAUGAACGCUAGCGGCAGGCUUAACACAUGCAAGUCGAGGGGUAACAGGGCUUCGGCCGCUGACGACCGGCAAACGGGUGCGGAACACGUACGCAACAUACCUUUAUCUGGGGCAUAGCCCGAAGAAAUUCGGAUUAACACCCCAUAAGAUUAUAGAGUGGCAUCACUUAGUAAUUAAAAAUUUAUUGGAUAGAGAUUGGCGUGCGUCCUAUUAGCUAGUUGGCGGGGUAAAGGCCCACCAAGGCGACGAUAGGUAGCUGAUGUGAGAGCAUGAUCAGCCACACGGGCACUGAGACACGGGCCCGACUCCUACGGGAGGCAGCAGUGAGGAAUAUUGGUCAAUGGACGCAAGUCUGAACCAGCCAUGCCGCGUGAAGGAUGAAGGCGUUCUGCGUUGUAAAC